rnacentral:rRNA from 1 species
UACGUAGGGUGCAAGCGUGAAUCGGAAUUACUGGGCGUAAAGCGUGCGCAGGCGGCUUUGCAAGACAGAUGUGAAAUCCCCGGGCUCAACCUGGGAACUGCAUUUGUGACUGUAUAGCUAGAGUACGGUAGAGGGGGAUGGAAUUCCGCGUGUAGCAGUGAAAUGCGUAGAUAUGCGGAGGAACACCGAUGGCGAAGGCAAUCCCCUGGACCUGUACUGACGCUCAUGCACGAAAGCGUGGGGAGCAAACAGG